GGCAGCUAUACUACACUGGUAAGCUAUAGAUCCGAAAGGUCUUGAAGGAGAACAAAGGCUCUCCAAACCCUACUUCGACUCAAUACGUCCCCGGCGUAUAGAAUGGUAACAAAUCUCGCCAAAUAUCUAAUCGGGGAAGCCCAACUUCUUGGGAAGAUGGGUGAUAUGACUAAAUGGAGCGGA
rnacentral:ribozyme from 1 species